AAAAUACAUCAUGUGUGACAUCAUCGCAGUAGGUGACUUGCCUAGAUCGGUCCACAAACAUGGGAAACUCGCUUGUAUUUACAUUUUUCUCUGCCAUUUAUGUGGCUUACAGAAAUGGCAAUUUGGAUAUUUUGAAUCUUCAAGGUGUGUGGAGUCGACCUUAGGAGAUGGUGAAUCACUUUCUUGUUUUGGUGCAACAAUGUGCCCAAAACUGGAGUUCUUCAUGAAUUUCCCACAGAGAAGAAGCAACACGACAUGGAGCUCAUCUAAUUCCUGAAGCUGGAGGAGGACAGUGGCACCGCCAGCAUUUACUCCGAUGGUGCAGAUCACAUUCUGAUCAUGUGC